CCUACGGGUGGCAGCAGUGAGGAAUAUUGGUCAAUGGACGAGAGUCUGAACCAGCCAAGUAGCGUGAAGGAUGACUGCCCUAUGGGUUGUAAACUUCUUUUAUAUGGGAAUAAAACGUUCCACGUGUGGGAUUUUGUAUGUACCAUAUGAAUAAGGAUCGGCUAACUCCGUGCCAGCAGCCGCGGUAAUACGGAGGAUCCGAGCGUUAUCCGGAUUUAUUGGGUUUAAAGGGAGCGUAGGUGGAUUGUUAAGUCAGUUGUGAAAGUUUGCGGCUCAACCGUAAAAUUGCAGUUGAAACUGGCAGUCUUGAGUACAGUAGAGGUGGGCGGAAUUCGUGGUGUAGCGGUGAAAUGCUUAGAUAUCACGAAGAACUCCGAUUGCGAAGGCAGUUCACUGGACUGCAACUGACACUGAGGCUCGAAAGUGUGGGUAUCAAACAGGAUUAGAUACCCCUUAGUG
rnacentral:rRNA from 1 species